UAGUGUUUUAGUUGCGUACAAACAUUCAUCGGUUUUGCACAUAAUUAAAGCACUACC
rnacentral:pre_miRNA from 1 species